UACGGGGGGGGGUAAGCGUUGUUCGGAAUUACUGGGCGUAAAGGGCUCGUAGGCGGCCAACUAAGUCGGACGUGAAAUCCCUCAGCUUAACUGGGGAACUGCGUCUGAUACUGGGUGGCUUGAGUGCAGGAGAGGGAUGCGGAAUUCCAGGUGUAGCGGUGAAAUGCGUAGAUAUCUGGAGGAACACCGGUGGCGAAGGCGACUCUCUGGGCUGUAACUGACGCUGAGGCGCGAAAGCGUGGGGAGCAAACAGG
rnacentral:rRNA from 1 species